rnacentral:rRNA from 1 species
AGUCGAGCGGAGAGAGGUAGCUUGCUACUGAUCUUAGCGGCGGACGGGUGAGUAAUGCUUAGGAAUCUGCCUAUUAGUGGGGGACAACAUUUCGAAAGGAAUGCUAAUACCGCAUACGUCCUACGGGAGAAAGCAGGGGAUCUUCGGACCUUGCGCUAAUAGAUGAGCCUAAGUCGGAUUAGCUAGUUGGUGGGGUAAAGGCCUACCAAGGCGACGAUCUGUAGCGGGUCUGAGAGGAUGAUCCGCCACACUGGGACUGAGACACGGCCCAGACUCCUACGGGAGGCAGCAGUGGGGAAUAUUGGACAAUGGGCGGAAGCCUGAUCCAGCCAUGCCGCGUGUGUGAAGAAGGCCUUAUGGUUGUAAAGCACUUUAAGCGAGGAGGAGGCUACUUUAGUUAAUACCUAGAGAUAGUGGACGUUACUCGCAGAAUAAGCACCGGCUAACUCUGUGCCAGCAGCCGCGGUAAUACAGAGGGUGCAAGCGUUAAUCGGAUUUACUGGGCGUAAAGCGCGCGUAGGCGGCUAAUUAAGUCAAAUGUGAAAUCCCCGAGCUUAACUUGGGAAUUGCAUUCGAUACUGGUUAGCUAGAGUGUGGGAGAGGAUGGUAGAAUUCCAGGUGUAGCGGUGAAAUGCGUAGAGAUCUGGAGGAAUACCGAUGGCGAAGGCAGCCAUCUGGCCUAACACUGACGCUGAGGUGCGAAAGCAUGGGGAGCAAACAGGAUUAGAUACCCUGGUAGUCCAUGCCGUAAACGAUGUCUACUAGCCGUUGGGCCCUUAGAUGCUUUAGUGUCGCAGCUAACGCGAUAAGUAGACCGCCUGGGGAGUACGGUCGCAAGACUAAAACUCAAAUGAAUUGACGGGGGCCCGCACAAGCGGUGGAGCAUGUGGUUUAAUUUGAUGCAACGCGAAGAACCUUACCUGGCCUUGACAUAGUAAGAACUUUCCAGAGAUGGAUUGGUGCCUUCGGGAACUUACAUACAGGUGCUGCAUGGCUGUCGUCAGCUUGUUUCGUGAGAUGUUGGGUUAAGUCCCGCAACGAGCGCAACCCUUUUCCUUAUUGGCCAGCGAGUAAUGUCGGGAACUUUAAGGAUUUUCCCAGUGACAAAUUGGAGGAAGGUGGGGACGACGUCAAGUCAUCAUGGCCCUUACGCCCAGGGCUACACACGUGCUACAAUGGUCGGUACAAAGGGUUGCUACCCAGCGAUAGGAUGAUAAUCUCAAAAAUCCGAUCGUAGUCCGGAUUGGAGUGAUCAACUGGACUCCAUGAAGUCGGAAUCGCUAGUAAUCCAGGAUCAGAAUGCCGCGUUGAAUACGUUCCCGGGCCUUCACACACCGCCCGUCACACCAUGGGAGUUUGUUGCACCACAAGUAGCUA